rnacentral:rRNA from 1 species
GUUGAACGCUGGCGGCAUGCCUUACACAUGCAAGUCGAGCGGCAGCGCGGGGGCAACCCUGGCGGCGAGCGGCGCACGGGUGAGUAAUACAUCGGAACGUGUCCUUUCGUGGGGGAUAACCAGUCGAAAGACUGGCUAAUACCGCAUGAGAUCUCACGAUGAAAGCGGGGGACCCGAGGGUAACUUCGGGCCUCGCGCGAUUGGAGCGGCCGAUGUCGGAUUAGCUAGUGGCGGGGUAAAGCCCACCAAGGCGACGAUCCGUAGCUGGUUUGAGAGAACGACCAGCCACACUGGGACUGAGACACGGCCCAGACUCCUACGGGAGGCAGCAGUGGGGAAUUUUGGACAAUGGGGGCAACCCUGAUCCAGCCAUGCCGCGUGUGUGAAGAAGGCCU